UUUUUUUUUGGUGACCAGUGACUUUAUUAAGUGUUAACACUCUUCAAAUGUCUGACUUUUGUCUACAGGAUCAAAGCAAGUUGGAGAAACACCAGCACCUGGAGACACCUUAGAUGGCACACCUCGUACUCUCAAUACUGUCUUUGAUUUCCCACCACCUCCAUUAGACCAAGUGCAGGAGGAGGAAUGUGAAGUAGAAAGGUAAUUCAGUGAUAUCUUAGAGAAGCUUAGGGCAUUACUUAAAAUUUUUAAAUUAUAUACUAUUCCUAUACUUAGUAGCAUUCUAGCACUGAAGCCUGGCAUGGUGGUAUGUACCUAUAAUGCCAGCUACUUGGGAGGCUGAGGCAGGAGAAUCAAUCACUUAAACUCAGGAGUUUGAGACCAGCUUGGGCAAUGUAGUGAGCCCCCACUUCAAACUGUAAAAAAUAAAAUAAAUAAAUAAAUAAGUUGGGUGCGUAAAAGAACUAAAACACCAUUUCAGAACUUGUUACUGAAAUGUAGAAAGGUACUCAAAUUUUCUUCAAUUUAUUUUAUAUUAAAUUAUUACAAUAUCCCAAAGAAUUAUUUAUCAAGCUGUUGGAGUUUAACCUAGCUUUGAGUAUCUUUGGUAUAAAUGUAUUGAUCACCAUUUUGUUUUCAUGUUACUCUUUACUUUCCAUUGUUUUAGGGUGACUGAACAUGGGACACCAAAGCCCUUUCGAAAGUAAGUAAAUCUUAAGCAGCUUUCAAUAAAGGCGCAUUUUAAGAAACGUAACCUUUUUUCCUCUAAAGUUUCAUUUUAAAGGAAAAGAAACCCUGUAUACCAAUCUGUUAUGUAGUAUAAAAGAAAGCUCUUAAGAAACACGGGUCAUUCAAAAGCUGUAUUUUGAAGUAUGUAUAAAACAGCCAUUUGUAGGAGAGGAUGAAAUUUCAGUCUCUGUGCUAAGUCAGAUUCAGGAAUCUGAUUAGAAUUUAUUGUAAUAUAAAGAUUUGUGCUGUUUCUCGUUGUCCACCUGAAGUCUUCAAAUUGAAUUCACUCUUUUUUCUUCAUAGGUUUGACAGUGUAGCUUUUGGAGAAAGUCAAAGUGAGGAUGAACAAUUUGAAAAUGACUUAGAGACAGAUCCACCCAACUGGCAGCAGCUUGUUAGUCGAGAAGUGUUACUGGGACUAAAACCUUGUGAGAUCAAAAGACAGGAAGUGAUUAAUGAAUUGUUCUACACUGAAAGAGCUCAUGUUCGAACGCUGAAGGUUCUUGAUCAAGUGUUCUAUCAGCGAGUGUCCAGAGAAGGAAUUCUGUCACCCUCAGAGCUACGGAAAAUUUUUUCAAACUUGGAAGAUAUUCUUCAACUUCACAGUAAGAGAAAUUAGCUCUG
rnacentral:sRNA from 1 species